GACGAACGCUGGCGGCGUGCUUAACACAUGCAAGUCGAACGGAAAGGCCCUGCUUUUGUGGGGUGCUCGAGUGGCGAACGGGUGAGUAACACGUGAGUAACCUGCCCUUGACUUUGGGAUAACUUCAGGAAACUGGGGCUAAUACCGGAUAGGAGCUCCUGCUGCAUGGUGGGGGUUGGAAAGUUUCGGCGGUUGGGGAUGGACUCGCGGCUUAGGAGCUUGUUGGUGGGGUAGUGGCUUACCAAGGCUUUGACGGGUAGCCGGCCUGGGAGGGUGACCGGCCCCAUGGGGCUGGGGGAGGGGCCAGGGGGCAAUGGGGGGCAAGGGGGGGGAAAAUGGGCCAACGGGGCGGAGUCUGAAGGGAGGACCGCCGGGUUGGGAUGACGGCCUUCGGGUUGUAAACCGCUUUCGCCUGUGACGAAGCGUGAGUGACGGUAAUGGGUAAAGAAGCACCGGCUAACUACGUG
rnacentral:rRNA from 1 species